rnacentral:sRNA from 1 species
GCCAGGCAUAGUGGCAUGUGCCUGUAAUCCCAGCUACUCAGGAGGCUGAGGCAGGAGAAUCGCUUGAACCCAGGAGAUGGAGGUUGCAGUGAGCUGAGAUCAUGCCACUGCACUCCAACCUGGGUGACAGAGCGAGACUCCGCCUCAA